ACAACUCUUGAAUCUCCUACAUUUGCUACCAGAAUCCGAUCACCAAGCAUUACAGCAGUUGAUGCAGUAGAACCAGCAUCUCUUUGCUGUGGAUUUUCUCCACUUAGGUAAUCAGCAUCUGUCCUUCUAAAUGCUUCAACUGUAAUCAAGAAUCAAUAAAUAUCAUUCACUUAUUCACCAAUCAAAAUAACAUAUUAACAGUUUGACACAGACACUGUUCAUACCUAUGGCUGUCUUUGUGUCUUUCAUAAAACCUGGAUGACCACUUAAGUUCUUGAAAAGAUUGUUCUUAAGAUAUUCUGCUGUUCUUGAACCACCAUGACCUAUUUAGUAUAUACAUUGUAAGAUCAGAAGCAAGAAUUUUCAGAAAAGAUGAUUGACUAUACAAAGGUCUUGUUAUCUUGUAAUGGAAUUACUGACCAUCAAAAACACCAAAAAAGGCAACUGUUUGACCAUCAACUUCUGAUAUUGUUGUUUCAAAGUAAUCCUCCAUUGAUGCCCUUUUACCCUUGAAACUGGCAUACCCAUACUUAAAUCUUGCAGUUUUGCUUCCACUCACAAAGCUAGCAAGACAAAGAUAGAUUUAGUUUUUGAAAUCUUAUCUGAAUAGGGUACUAUCAUUAAAAAGGUUAACUUUAACUCUUCAAUUACUUAAACCAUCUGAGUAUCUCAAACAAUUGUGUAUAUCCGUGCAUAAUUUUUGUUGGUUUAACUUUAUUCUUUUUAGAUUAUCGUGCGCCUUGUGCCUUUUUAGUACUAGUAAAGGUAAAAGAACUGCCGAAUUGUUAAUGAUAAGGAUAUUGACUAUCGAUUGUAUACUAAAAAAGGAGUUUUAUUUACUCCCCUCAUCCAAACCUAGUUCAACCUGUUAAAAAAUACAAAAAAUUGCAUUAAGGUUUGCAAUUUAUUUUAAACAUCAUAAUGUUUCAAUCGGAAACAUGCUUUAUGCUUCAUUUAGUUAUACAAAUUUUCGUUUAUGAUCAAAUAGAUUCUCCUCAAUGCUCAAAAUUCAAAAAAAUUGACUUCAAAAAAUCGUAAGCAAGAGGAUAAAAGGUUAAUGAAAUGAAAGCUGAAAUAUUAGGUCCGUUUUGUACCUGAUUCCACCACCACUAUCCAAGGCAUCAGGGUCCUUAGAGGGAACCGCAAUGGCGGAUUGGUGUUGUUGUUCCUUUUCAUGUUUCGGUUCAGACAAAGGUUCUGGCUUUUGAGCGGUAAUAGGUGGCGGAUUCCCCGGUUUAACGUCGUCGGAAUCGUCUGUAAGGCGAGGAGGUCGGCGGUACUGUGGAGGAGCGGCGGUGGCGGUGGCGGUGGUGGAAUCUUUGACGUCCAUGAUCAGUAGCAAUUCAUUCAAAGGUGGAAUUUUGGGGGAUGAUCUGUCGUUGCUUCUGUUCUAUUCAAACAUUGUUUGUAUCAAUUCAUCUUUUUCCAUGGUUUUCAGUGCUUUCGGUUCGUUGUUAUAUGGCGGAUGACGCUACCCAAUUUUGGUAAUUUUUGUUCUCUUGCGAUUUACACCCUGUACUUUCUCUCCUCUAAUCACUUUGCCUCUUCUAACUUUUUAACUUUUUUUUUUUUAGCUGAAAACUAAAAAUAUAAUUUUAGUUAGUUAAAAAUCAAAAGCUUUUAAAUAUAUAAAAUUUUCUAAAAAAACAUUUUUAUAAAAACUAAAAUUGAAACAUAAUAAUAAUAGCUGUCUAGAUUAUAAUUUAUAAAAUUUAUAAAUACUUCAUAAAUUCAUUCUAUCUAUGGAUACAUCAACAUACACAACAAUAUUGAUCAGUAAACCAAUAUAUCGUUUCGCAUCUAUGGAUACAUCAACGUGCACAUAAAUAGUGAUCACUAAACCAACAUAUCUUUUUGCAAUGUUUUUAUUUUUGUUUUAUUUUAUUAAAAAACAUAAAAUGAAACAACCUUAUCGAUGAAAUAUGCUUAUGUUUUUCCUAAGGGAAAUCUCCAAUAAAGUCUUAAAAUUAUGGUCUGGUUUAUAUUUUAGUCAUAAACUAACUUUUGUUUACAAAAAAGUCCCAAAAACCGGUAAAAGUUUACAUUUUGACCAUUUUUGACUGGUUGGAACCGAUAACAAAUUAAUUUGGGACUAUUUCAUAAAUUUACCAAAAAUAUUGGGACUUUUCUGCAAAAAAAAAUAUUAGGGUUUUUCUACAAACAAAAACAUUAUUAUUAUUAUUAUUAUUAUUAUUAUAUUAAAGAUAUAAAUAAGUAUACUAUUUUUUAAAUUUGUUAUUAUUAAUAUUGUUAAUAAUAUUAAAGACAUUUUAUAAGGGUGAAGGUUGAGCGAGUGGUAAUGUUUUAAGCUUUGAAAUCAUGAAUGUCUGUUUGUAUAUUCUAACUUUGUAUAUGGUUAUUUCAUAUUUGUUAUUAUUGUUUUUAAUUCAAAAUAUUAACAUUUAACAAUUUAAAAAAAGCUACUGAUUUUUUUAAAUUGUUUACAAAUAGUGAGCGUGUGAUAUGCGUGUUGUCUUGUAUGUAAGUAUUUGAAUUACCAACAUGUGUGUUGCUCUUUUUCAUUACUUUAUCCUUGUGGUUUUUUUGAAAACAUAGUAGAUAUAGUAUGAUAAAACAAAACAAGUCAUAUUACUUUCUAUUAAACAAGAUAUUUUAAUUAAUAUUUUCGAAUUUUGAUAUGAACCACCAAUGUAAAUAUUUAUCGUGGAUGUGUUGGAUUUGACAAUAAAUCAUUCUACCUUAAGAAGUUUUAUAUACAAAGUGAGAAAUCCUUUUAUCUUAAACUAUUUAUACACAAUUUUACAAAUAGGCAACUUCUUUUAAAUUGUUAAGUGUUAAUAUUUUGAAUUGAAAACAAUAAUAAGAAAUAUGAAAUGAUCAUAUACAAAGUGAGGACAUACAAGCAAAUAUUCAUGAUUUCAAUGUUUAAAGUAUUACCAUCACCACCACCUUCACCUUUAGAUAAUUUCUUUAAUAAAUUUUUUAUUUAAGUGUAUUUAUAUGUAUUAUUAAAAAUAUUAAUAAUAAUGAAUUUAAAAAUUAGUAUACUUGUUUAUAUUUUUAAUAUAAUAAUAAUAAUAAUAAUAGUAAUAAUAAUAAGGUUUUUGUUUGCAGAAAAGUCAUAAUAUUUUUUUUGCAGAAAAGUCCCAAUAUUUUAGGUCAUUUUGUGAAAUAGUCCCAAUAUUUUGAGUCAGUUUAUGAAAUAGUCCCAAAUUAAUUUGUUGCCGGUUCCAACCGGUCAAAAAUGGUCAAAAUGCAUACUUUUGCUGGUUUUUAGGACUUUUUCGUAAACAAAAAUUAGUUUAGGACUAAGACGUAAACCAGACCAAAAUUUUAGGACUUCUUUGGAGAUUUCCCUUUUCCUAAAACAUGAAUAUAAAAAAUAAUAACAUGUAAAAGUGAAAAAAAAAAACUAAACAUCGAUGAGUUUAACGUGAUCAAAAAACCUAUGAAAGAGAAAAAACAAGAAAACAUGGAGAGAUAAUAUUUUUUAGGGAUAAUUUAGUCAUUUUGUUAAUGUAUAUAAGAAAUUUAUGUUGAACGUUACUUGAAGUAAAUUUUGGAUUCAUAAUUUUUUUUUUAAACCAAAAGCUUUAAACUCGGAAUGAAUGAUGGAGUUUUUCAUUUUUUGCGAGUUUUUUUUAGAUACUAAAAGUUAAAAACAAAUAUUUGAUCAUUAAAGUUUUGGCUUUGUGCUUAUUUGGUCAUUAAUACAUUUUAAGUUUUAAAAUGUGAUUGAACUUGUUAAUUUUUGUCAAAUGAUUAUUAUGACCGACAAAAACAAGUUUCCAUACUUUUUUGGUUAACUAAAAUCAUUAAUGCUUUUAUGAUUGUUCAUUAAACUCUUGAUUUUGUGUGAGUUAAAUUCGUUUUUACAACUUUAUAUUUUAUUUUAUUUUUAUGUGGUUUUUCAUCAUUCGAUGUUUUUUUUCACAAACUAUUUUUACAACUUCAUUUUUUACUUUGUUUUUCAUGCUUUUUUCAAUUUGUUUUCAUUGUUGGAUUAUGUGUCUAUGUAACAUCUCGAAAUUCAUGUACACCUAUUUAACCCUUCUCAUUUGUCAAGUUUUCAAGAUUAGCCCUUGAGUGGGAAAGUGUUGCAAAUGAGUACGCUGGGCGUACCGGAGAGUACGCUGUGCGUACUCAUGCGCUUAAGUUGGAUGCGGACUCGCCUAGGUACGCUGGGCGUACCCAAGGUUACGUUGGGCGUAGGGGGCCCAGAUGCAAACCCUAAUUUAAGGCUUGUGUACUAUAAAAGGAAUGCUAAGGCCUUAUCCUCAGCCUCCAUUUCAGAGAGUGAAACCCUAAGAGAGCAUUUCCUUCGUCCUAAAGCUUGUGUGUGAGUAUUUUGAGCUAAAGGUGCCUUUGUGUGUUAGUGAAGAAGGAGGAGAGGAGCUUGUGGAGGCUAGAGUUUGAAGUUCAAGCUUGGAUCUGAGUUCUCCAGAGGAAGGAGCUUCACUUUGAGGUAAAAAGCUCAGAACUUUCCUCUUUAUUUUGGUUUGGUGUUUUAUGGUCCAUUUCUAGGGUUUAAGUCCCAAAGGUGGAGACUUUAUGAGCAAGAGGGGCUCCAUGGACCUAGAUCUGUCCCAUUUCAGUGUUAUGAGUGAUGUAGAUCCAUAAAAAUCCCAUCUUGGUCGUUGUUAUGGAGUCAUGCUUGAGUUAUGAGCUUUAGAGUGUUGAAAGUGGAGAGAUUUGGGUGUUGGUGACUCUCACAGCCAUGCAAAGGCUUAAAGCCACCAACUUUAUGGUUAAGAGGCUUAGGGGUGGUCAGAUUUGAAAGUUGGUCGUGGGUCUUAACCGUUUAAGACCCCAAAAGCUAAGGAGUCUAAAACUGGGAGUUACGCGGGGGGUAAUCCCAGUACGCGCAGCAUAAGGGGUCGCGUUCCCCGUUUCUGUGAGGUGACCGGAUACGCCCAGCGUAACUCGGAGAGUUGACUUUUGGUUGACUUUUAGGGUUUGGUCAAUGUUAGGGUCUUUGAGCCUGGAGAGGGGUAAAAUGGUCUUUUACCCUUUUGAGAGUGCUAAGAGGGGGAUCUAGUCUAGCCUUGAGGGUUGUAUUGAUUAAAGUGUUUAUUCCAUGUGAUUAGGCGGAGGCUAGACCAGAUUUUACCGAGUUCGAGAUUACCGAGUUACCCGAGGUGAGUCUUCUCACUAUAUUGUACCUAGAAGGGUACCUAUGUGUGACCGGAAGGUCUUAUAUGCUAUGAGAUGUAUGUGCUAUAUGCUGAUAUGUGAUAUGUAUGUGUUAUGUAUGCUAUGUAUGAUAAGGACGGGAAGGUCAAGAUGAUAUGGACCGGAAGGUCAAAAGGACAUGGUCCGGAAG
rnacentral:lncRNA from 1 species